rnacentral:rRNA from 1 species
GCAGCCGCCGCGGUAAUACAGAGGGUGCGAGCGUUAAUCGGAUUUACUGGGCGUAAAGCGUGCGUAGGCGGCUUUUUAAGUCGGAUGUGAAAUCCCUGAGCUUAACUUAGGAAUUGCAUUCGAUACUGGGAAGCUAGAGUAUGGGAGAGGAUGGUAGAAUUCCAGGUGUAGCGGUGAAAUGCGUAGAGAUCUGGAGGAAUACCGAUGGCGAAGGCAGCCAUCUGGCCUAAUACUGACGCUGAGGUACGAAAGCAUGGGGAGCAAACAGGAUUAGAUACCCGCGUAGUCCCUGUCUCUUAUAA